UUCAUACCCGACUCCUUAGAAAGGAGGUGAACGAAAUCGCACUAUUGUUCUUCCAUUUCUUUUUUUUAGGGUUUUAUCUCCUUCCACUAUUGUUGUCGUUCAUAUCGAACUAUGAAGGAAUUGAUCGAACUCUCAAGUCCAUCCACUUAACACGAGAUUUUGGUUGAAAGCAACCCUAACCCUUGUUCUUGUUUAAAAAAUCUGUUGUUCGAUUGAUACUUGCUGGUAGGUGUUUUUGUGGCCUAGAUUCGUUAGGGUCAGGGACUACGAAUUUGUCCCUAAAAUUUCAGAUUAAACAUUACUCCAUUGAGCGAACUUCAAUCCAUCGAAUUCGAGAGAGAUUUUCGCUGGUUUUCUAGUUUUGUUUGAAGGAAGGGGAUGUCCGGUGGUGUCUGAUUUCGUUCGUUCUCCACCUCUCGGGUAUGGUUUUCUUCCAAGGUCGGGUUGAGUGUAGAUGAUAUUGGAGAAGUAAAGAUGGGUCAAGGCUCUUGACCGUUGGAUUAAAAAAAACACAGGUGAGUUGGGAGGUAGAUGGUUGGGAGUUUAGGUCGUUGGAGACGAUCCGGAUCCUAAUAUUCACCUGACGAAGUGCAGGAAGCAUUUGCAUUUUGCUACUGGCAACGAAAUGGAAGAGCUGAAACGUGUGAUUCCGAUCACCCUCAAGCGAAUGAUUUUCGAAAGCACUCACGAGGAUCUUUCUUCGACAUGUUCUUCUCUAUUGGAUUUUUUACUUCCUCUGCCGUUGUUUCAUGAUGUCGUACAAGGCCUAACGAACCCAGAAAUGGCUGUCUGUCAUAAGAACACGAAAGCUGCAUUAGAUUUUAAACAGAAAGGCAAUGACUGUUUCUCUAGUGGAGAUUACGCCAAAGCUUUGACUUUAUACUCCCAGCAGGGAUUGCGGUUUGCACCAAUGGAAGCCGAUGAUGCGGACAAGAGCCUUGUAACAGUGCUAUAUGCGAAUCGAGCUUCGUCUUUGCAUAAAAUGGGCCUUUUGGUAGAGUGCAUACGUGACUGUGGUCGGGCUCUCUUACUCACGCCUAGCUAUGCAAAGGCUUGGUAUAGGAGAGGUAUGGCAAAGGCUUCCAUGGCGAAUUAUGAAGAGGCAGUCUGUGAUUUGAAUGUUGCUCUGGACAUGGAGCUCUCUUUAUGCCGAAAGGCCCAGAUAAAAUGUGAGAUCGACACAAUUUUAGACCACUGCAGGAGGACUAAGGGGACAGGUAGCCCUGGGGAUAGUUCUAGCGAACGGAAUGUUGGAUCCUAUAGUAACUCAAUCUCUAUGAUUGAUGAGCUACGCCCAAAAGUACUGCAUUGUGUCUCCACAACAACUAAAGGAAGGGGUAUGGCUUCAUUAAUUAACAUAGCUAAAGCUUCCUUGGUUCACACUGAAGAACCUUAUGCUGCGAUUAUAUUGAAGCAUUGUCGGGAAACACACUGUCAUUUCUGCUUCAAUGAGCUACCAGCUGAUAUUGUCCCAUGUUCAUCAUGUUCAAUACCAUCGUACUGUUCCCAGCAUUGCCAAGUACAAGCUGGAGGACAAUUUGGAAGCAGUCCAAACAAUGCUUUGAUCCCUGAGAAUAUAUCUAAAAAUUUUGAAAUGGCGGAAACUUCACCUAGCAAUUCUGGAUAUAUUGUUGCUGAUGCAAACAUUAAUUGUAUCCCCGAACACAAACAUGAAUGUGGUGGUGUACAUUGGCCUGUAGUAUUACCAUCCGAAAUUGUUUUGGCAGGCCGAGUUCUAGUGAAGUCAAUUGAGCAAAGGAGGCACUCCAGCUUAACCUCCAAGCCCAUAGAAUCUUUGGACCUCUUUCACAAUUAUGCUCAAAUGACCCCAGAGAACAAAUUGGAGUUGCACAUUUAUUCAAUUGUACUGACCCACUGUCUUCAGCGUUAUUAUGGUUCUAUAUUUCCUUUAACUGGCACUUCUGCUUCACAGGUGGUAAUACUUAUAUCUCAAAUCAAGGUAAAUUCUAUGGCUAUUGUCCAUAUGAAAUCAGUAGAAGAAUAUAGUUCAUCGAAGCAGUCAGGACCACAGUUGUCAAGGGUUACUAAUGUAGAACAGGUCAGAGUUGGUCUAGCCAUUUAUUCAGUUGGUAGCUUGUUUAACCAUUCGUGUCAACCAAACAUUCAUGCUUAUUUCCUUUCACGUAGCCUCUCUAUACGAUCAACAGAAUUUGUGGCGGCAGGUCAACCGCUGGAGCUAUCCUAUGGCCCACAGAUUGGGCAAAUGACUCUUAUGGACCGUCAUCAGUCACUGGAAGAUCAAUAUGCAUUUAAGUGCAAGUGCAGUGGUUGUUCAGAACUUAAUCUGUCUGACCUUGUUGUAAAUGCUUUUCGGUGUGUGCAACCAAACUGUUUUGGUGCAGUCUUAGAUAUCUGUUUGUCAAAGCAUGAAAAACAGAAAGUUAGCUAUGUACAAGGUGUUUCGACAAUUUGCAGCUUUGAGUGUAAUUUACCCGUUGACAAGCUGAAAAUAGAAGACAUCAAUAAUGUGGCCCACGUCUUGUUUCAACAAACCAGUGGAACCCUUCGAAUUCAUCCUGGUUAUUGUUUGAAUUGUGGUUCUCAACGUGAUCUGGAAUCUUCACACGCCACAGUCAAGCAAGCUCGUAUUUAUGUCAAGAGAUUGCGGGAUGCAAUAGAUUCGAAGCAGGUUUCAAUAAAUGCACUCUCGGAUGUUUUGCGAUCUCUUGAUCUGUUGAGAUCAACAAUACAUUCAUACAACAAGGAGAUUGCAGAGGCAGAGGACAUUAUUGCAGAGGCAUUUUGUUCGCUUGGAGAAUUUCAAGCUGCCAUUGACCACUGCAAAGCAUCAAUUGAGAUCUUGGAGAAGCUUUAUACCGCCAACCACAUUGUCAUCGGGAAUGAGUUGGUUAAGCUUGCAUCUAUUCAACUAUCCAUGGGUAGAGUGUAUAUCUUUUCAUAAGACUGACGAAACGAGUGUAAGUAUAUACAGGAAAGGCAAACCAUGAUAUCUGAAUUUUUCUUUUUUUCUUUUGGAGUCUCUGAACAAUUGCCAUUAUGAGAUGCCCAAGCGAUCGUAUAUAUUAUACGCACGUAUGUACAUUUAACUAGCAUUUUCAGAAUCAUCAUUUUAGAUUACAAACUGACUGUAAUGAUAGUUUCUAAAAAUGCCCAAUUUUGUCCCUAAUCAUGAACAUUGUUAUGUAAAAACUUCAAGACAACCAUAGCCCGUGUAAUAAGAUAAAUUAUUUAAUUAUUGAAUUUAAUACAAUUUGUGGCAAGCCCAUUGUCAAGAAAUUGGAUAAAUUAUCAUCAGAUGCAACUAUAGCAGUGGGUGCAACAGAGCAUAGGAUCAGUACUUCCUUGUACCAAAAAACCAAAAAGAUAUUGUACCUAUUUCACCCUAUAUGGUUGUUUUUCUGAUGAGCUCUAGAUUCAUUCAUUUGUGUGAUACCUUCUUGGUGAUCACAAUGUAAUGGGACAAGGUGCUAGAUGUGCUCAUAUACAUUUCUAGGUUCUUUUUUCAUUUUGUUUUUUUCUAAGGCUAUGUUUGAUAGCCAAGAGGGGAAAAAAAAAAGUAUAAAAAUUGUACUAUUUUCUUUCUUGGUUUAAGAAAUUCUUAUUGUGUUUAGUAUUUCCUGAAUCAAGAGAAGAUUUUUUUUUGAAUUUCUAAAUUCAUCUUUGAAAUAGUGAAGUUUGCUUUUAUGCAAAAAAUAAAUAAAUAAUAAAAUAAUAAAAUAAAAUCUUGUCUUUUUCUUUUCUUUUCUUCUAUUGGUAGUCAAACACUCAUAAUUUUAUUUUAUUUUCUUUUCAAUUUUUUUUUUCUCCUCUCUUCUAGAUUCUUUUUUCUUUUCAUUUCCUUUCUUCUCUUGGCUACCAAACAUAUCCUAGAUAGACAAUGUCUUUCUAUUUCAUUAACUAUUAUUUUCUUUUCCUAGGUACAAAACUCUUCCUUCCCCAAUCUUAUGUGUUGGGUUAUCAGAGUAUCGUGAACAGAGUUGAAAAAAGGAUAGGCUUUAGGUAUUUUUCUUAAAGGGCAAUUUCAGGUAGGGACUUCUAAUACUACCUCCACAGUGGAGACAUAAGCUUUUUGCAUACUUCAGGGUUUACGGCUGGCGACGUCUAAGGGGUGGACUAUCGGUGAAGUAUGGUUCUCAUCCAAGGAUUUACUUCAACAUAUUCUGCAGCCUUCCAAUGUGUCUUGGCCGCUUCUUUCAUUUCAUAUCUUUUGGGAAAUCUUUGCUACUUUUGGUUCCUUAACCUAUGUAUGUAAAUGUACUAACUCUAAUCCUCUCGUUAUUUUUGGUGGAGAUGGCUUAUAGUGCUAGGAUAGGGGUGUUAACUCCUUUUAUAUUCUUCUGACUGUCUGAAUAUGUAAUAUGCUUUCUUGUUUAACACAAGUUUAUGCUUCAUCCAAAUAAUAAUAAUAAUAAUAAUAAUAAUAUUUUCUUUUCU